rnacentral:rRNA from 1 species
GAGGUCCUACGGGGGGCAGCAGUGAGGAAUAUUGGUCAAUGGGCGAGAGCCUGAACGAGCAAUGCCGCGUGAACGAGGAAGGUCUUCGGAUCGUAAAGUUCUGUUGAAGGGGAAAAAGAGCGGAGAGAGGAAAUGAACUCCGAUUGAUAUUACCCUUCGAGGAAGUCACGGCUAACUACGUGCCAGCAGCCGCGGUAAUACGUAGGUGGCGAGCGUUAUCCGGAAUGAUUGGGCGUAAAGGGUGCGUAGGCGGCCUGCUAAGUCUGGAGUGAAAGGUACCGGCUCAACCGGUACAGGCUCUGGAA